CAAAGCCAGGGAUUGUAUCUGUUCUCAAAGUACCUCCCUGAUAGCUACUUAUCAAUACAGAAGCCAUGAUACAUAUUUGUGAUGUCUGUAAUUUUAUGUAAUUUAGCAGAGAAUGUCCUUACUGGAUAUUGAUUGACGGACAUUAACAGUUACACCAGGGGACCUGUUCAUACUGACAUUUUGGGAUAUGUUCACAGCUCAACUGACUCCAAAAAUAACACACGCUGCCUGUGUGCAGGGUGCAUCUCAGCUUCCUUUUUCAGAGAAACUUGAAUUUCCAUGGAAACCAGACAGGCAAAGAAUAAAGGAUGUCUGGAGCCAAAUGUGGAUGAACCAACUCCUGCUGGGCAGCAGCUGGAAUUUCACAUUUUUCUUGUUUCCUGCUGGUCUCUCAAUUUCAUUUUGAAAUGUUCUUUCAGUGCUGACUUCACUGUAAUUUCCCUCUUAUUAGCAUAAUACUGACCUCUGUUGUUUUUACUCAUAAAUUGUGCCUCAAACAGCAGCUACCUGAAGGCAUUCAGUAAGUUAGGUUUUAUUUAUUUUAUGAUAUUUAUAGAAAACAGACUUCUUAGACUUUACAAGUACAUGAAUGAAAAUAUUAGCUAGC
rnacentral:lncRNA from 1 species